GUAGUAUUCCCGCCGUCCCAAAAUUCUUGUCUUACAUUUGUUUAGAUACGGAUGUAUCUAACACUAAAAUGUAACUAGAUACAUCCGUAUUUAGACAAAUUUAAGACAAGAAUUUUGGGAUGGAGGGAGUACAAA
rnacentral:pre_miRNA from 1 species